ensembl:snRNA U2 U2 spliceosomal RNA
AUCGCUUCUCAGCCUUUUGGCUAAGAUCAAGUGUAAUAUCUAUCUAGUGUGGAAUGUUGAGGUAUCCUAUUAUUAUUGUGUUAGAACCUAUACGGUCAUUUUUUUUUUAUUAACUGGAAAUAGGUUAUAGUCUCCCCUUUCUCUACUCAUCCCAGUAGAGAUUCCUCCCC